rnacentral:rRNA from 1 species
UGGGGAAUAUUGCACAAUGGGCGCAAGCCUGAUCCAGCCAUGCCGCGUGUGUGAAGAAGGUCUUCGGAUUGUAAAGCACUUUAAGUUGGGAGGAAGGGCAUUAACCUAAUACGUUAGUGUUUUGACGUUACCGACAGAAUAAGCACCGGCUAACUCUGUGCCAGCAGCCGCGGUAAUACAGAGGGUGCAAGCGUUAAUCGGAAUUACUGGGCGUAAAGCGCGCGUAGGUGGGUUGUUAAGUUGGAUGUGAAAUCCCCGGGCUCAACCUGGGAACUGCAUUCAAAACUGACUGACUAGAGUAUGGUAGAGGGUGGUGGAAUUUCCUGUGU